UUGAUGCGAUCCUCAGAUCUAUUAGCUACUAACUACCAAAUAGGCCAGAUGGACCAAGGGCUUCUUGUAGCCUUCCUAACGUACUUUGUGUUGCAGUCUGUUCCUUGUGUCUACACUGGUGCUGAUUACAGUACAUCCUGGACCAUGUACUGCAUUCCAGUACAAGUCUUUGAUUGUAUGAGCUGCUUAAUGAAAUGGGUGAAUUAAAUAUGGGCAUUUAAGCAAUGAGGAACUGGUUGCUGUGCUGGAAUGCAUUGCCAUUUCCAGUUUUUAAUCCCCUGUGCAAUGGGUUCCUGCUCUAACUCCAGUGCAGGUUUCUGUGGAUCCUGGAGUUUCCUACCUCUGGGGUUUGAGAUGUCGAAUAAAUGACUUGCAGUUUCACCUUGGAUAAAGGUGCCUGUCAAGUGGCCGAAGUGCACUUUGAGAGGGGGACGUGCCCAGUCGAAUCAGCCUGAGCCGUUUGAAGCUCAUCUUCUCCAGCGCAGAUCUUUGAUCAGGGCUUGUGCAGAGCCGCCGUAACCAGAGCUGGAGCUAAUUGGUUGCAGGUCUGGCUGAUCUCCACCAGGAGCAGCUCCAGGUAUUCCAGAGCAGGCCGAGGGAGCACAUGGUCCCUGCGACCCUCCCCCUUCCCGUCUUUACUCAGUGGUGAUACAGAACAGUGGAGUGAACAAAGACAUUGGUCCAGGCUGGAGAGAAGAUCAGGAGCCUGAGCAGGCCUGCGGUACUGGGAGCGAGGUCAGCAGACUCAAUUGUACCUGCACAUGGCCUUGCACAUCCUGGGCACAGACCAGAGCCAGGAUCCCUGUGUGAAGAGGACCAGGAAUUCUCUCCAGGCCCCCGCUGGUGCUGGAUCUGUUCUCAGUCCUGUGACUGGGGCUGAUGCAGCUCAGGCUGGGUGAGGAGUCAUUCAGCACCUUCAAGUCUCUCUGACCAGCGUCUCUCAAGCACCGUCCAGCAGCUCAAGGACAGCCAGGAGUAUACUCAUGGAAUAAACCUUUGACUUGUUCCUCUGCAGUGCUCAGGCUUGACUGCUCAUCACGGGCAGAGGGGUGGUACUGUGAAAUCCCACACUAGGAGUGAAGAGAAGAAGCAUACUCAUUUAUUGACGUAAUCUCUUUAAUACUGUGUAAUACUUUCUCUCUUAAAAUACAGUCUCUUCUGAGGUAGACCAAUACAGUUCAAGAACAUUUUUUUUUUAAAACAGACAUUGAAAAAAAGACAUGAAAUAAAUAUUUUCAUGUACAAUAUGUCGCAAAAAUGAGGUAGAAAUGGUUACAGAGAAUGUACAAGAUACAGGAACAAAUUUACUAAAAAAAUAAAAAUUAAAUACCACUUUCAAUGGACAAACCGUUUUUUGCUCGCUCAGUUUAAAAAAAACAAACUAACUUGCCCCCCCCACCCCGGGGAUAAUAAAAACACUCUCUGAAAUUUGGGAAGUUUGUUGAGAAGAGCACGCGAGUGACCAGCUCGUAGCUGGCUGGCGAAGUCCUGUGCCCGAGUGGAGAGAGCAGCUGGGGUGAGCUGCUCCUGUCCUUCAGCCUCGUGAGCUCAGACUGCUUCCACUUUCAUUUGGUUUUGCAUAAAGUUCUAAAUAUCUCUAUUUUUUUCCAACAUGUGCUCCUCACAUUUCAAAGAACAGUUCUUUUGUGUACUGCAGGAUGUCCAGUCCUGGUCCUGGGGGGUCCGUGUGUCUGCAGGGUGUCCAGUUGCGGUCCUGGGGGGUCCGUGUGUCUGCAGGAUGUCCAGUCGC